AGAUUGAACGCUGGCGGCGUGCCUAACACAUGCAAGUCGAGCGGUAACAGGUGUAGCAAUACAUGCUGACGAGCGGCGAACGGGUGAGUAAUGUUUUGGAAUCUUCCCAGUAGUGGGGAAUAACCAGUCGAAAGAUUGGCUAAUACCGCAUACGUCUGUAAAGGGAAAGCGGGGGCUCGUAAGACCUCGCGCUAUUGGAUGAGCCAAAGUCGGAUUAGCUAGUUGGUGGGGUAAUGGCCUACCAAGGCGACAAUCCGUAGCUGGUCUGAGAGGACGACCAGCCACACCGGAACUGAGACACGGUCCGGACUCCUACGGGAGGCAGCAGUGGGGAAUAUUGGACAAUGGGGGAAACCCUGAUCCAGCGACGCCGCGUGUGUGAAGAAGGCCUGCGGGUUGUAAAGCACUUUUAGUGGGGACAAAAGCUACGGAUUAAUACUCUGUGGUCUUGAUUUAACCCAAAGAAAAGCACCGGCUAACUCUGUGCCAGCAGCCGCGGUAA
rnacentral:rRNA from 1 species